GACGAACCGUGCGAACGUUGUUCGGAAUCACUGGGCAUAAAGGGCGCGUAGGCGGGCUACCAAGUCUGUGGUGAAAUCCUCCGGCUCAACCGGAGAACUGCCGUGGAUACUGGGAGCCUCGAGGGAGAUAGGGGCGUGCGGAACUGAUGGUGGAGCGGUGAAAUGCGUUGAUAUCAUCAGGAACUCCGGUGGCGAAGGCGGCACGCUGGAUCUCAUCUGACGCUGAUGCGCGAAAGCCAGGGGAGCAAACGGG
rnacentral:rRNA from 1 species